UUGGUAGAAUUGUUUACACCUGAUCUCCAUGAUAGUCCGCCCUGGACACUAAUCCAGACACAUUAACCUGCCCAGAAACCAGUGUCAUGCAAACUCGUUCGGGUCCAAAUGCUUUCCGAGUUUCAAAGUUUUGCGAUCGUCUAAAUAUUUCAAAUUAAUGGUAACGAUAAACUUUGUCGGAUAGAAAAACUUUCAGUAUAGUAAUAGUCUGUAUCACCUGGCAAUCUGACUUCCUUGAAUAGCACAAACCGUCGUCUUUUUAUAUCCUUGCAUUAUGGAAAUUGUACAAAACUCGGAAGGAUACGACCAGCACCGAGCUAUAUGUCAAUUGGUGGUGGUCGAAAAAUGCAAGUGUUACUCCGGAGCUCCUAUUGAACCACUAAUAAUCUAAUCGUUGCACAAUUAUUUCGUGGAAAUGAACCACAACGGCAGCCGAUACACGUCGUUCGCCUUUGCUAGUGGAGGGAUCGCUGGCAGCGGCGGUGCCCGAGGGGAACUGAGCAGUGGAAAUUUGAGCAGAAAGCUGAGUAGUCCGAUGGCAGAGUCGACACAGCGGUAUCCGGGGGAAUCUUUACGACAGUCCGGUACGACAGGUUGGAGUUGGGAAAAGAAGCCUACCUCUCCGUUGCAAAAUAGCAGGACAAAUUUUAGAAGCAGCUGAACGGCGUCCGGAUCCAGUAUGAAUCGAUUGAUUGAUCCUAAGAUUUACACGGAUGUUUAGAGCCGAGGAUUGGUUAACCGGUUGGUAAAGUACCACGAUAAAACGCAAUCGCCGUUAAAUAGGAGUCAAUCGAUGACUAGCCUGUACUCGAAGCCGGGUCAAUUUCCUGUGUGGUGGAGGAGAAACAAUUCUUCGAUAGCUACCAUUGGUUCGGAUUUCCCCGUCAAAGAAGUCCGUGUUUCAGGCUGACACAAGGUGGAACAUUUUACGGGAGGGAUCGUUGCUCAUUCCGGCGGAACCUUAUCUGAAGAUGGUCCGAACACAUAGACACGAGGAUGAGAUUGAUGCGGAAAAUAGUGUGAUUGCGCCUUCAACAGAACUGGAUGCCGAUUGGAUUAAUCGGCAAACCGGCAAAAUUAAGUAGGAUUGAUUCCGCUCCUUUGCCACAGAUUACGAGAAUUGUUCCGGAGUUUCAACUACCUCUGAUGAAAUAUCCGCCACUAAAACUAACGUUGUUUAACAAGAAAUAUAACGUCCAUGACAUGACGAAACGGUGGUUCGACCCCCGUCCACAGACAGUGAAGGAUGAUGAUGAUAAAGUAGGCGGACGAAUCAGUUUCAUUAAGCCAAAGGAUAAAUCGCCUAUUAUGAGCAAUGCCAAGGUUGUUCUGAAGAGGUUCGAGCGCUCGAAAUCAUCGUUGAUUCUGAGCUGCUUGAGUGAUGAUUUUAAUGAAGACGAGUAAUCGCCUAUAGUUACGCCAUGGCAGGGUUUAUUUUAUACGAUAGACACCGCGGAUGCACCACCGAAGGUUGAAGAGAAGAAACGGCUUCCGUCCCGAUAAUGAGCGGUAUUUCAGCAAUAGUUAAUAGCCCGAUCAAGGAUCCUGGCCUAGGUAAAAUUGAUCCAUCGAAACCGGUGGAAAAUGUAAAAACGAUAGAGCAACCGAAGUAAACCACGGGAUUUGCUUUCGGAAGUACAACUGCUACCGUCAGCUCGGCUCCGGUUACAGCACAUCAAUCCGAUACAUAGUUUGCGUUUGGGACGCCCACUUAACCGGUUACUGCUAAAAUCAAAUCAUCGGAAAUACCACGUAUCGUUUUCCUGUGCUUGGAUUUCGAUACGUACGGAA